rnacentral:rRNA from 1 species
AUUGAACGCUGGCGGCAGGCCUAACACAUGCAAGUCGAACGAGUGGCGGACGGGUGAGUAAUGUCUGGGAAACUGCCCGCUGGAGGGGGGUAACUACUGGAAACGGUAGCUAAUACCGCAUACCAUCGGAUGUGCCCAGAGGGGAUGAGCUAGUAGGGGGGGUAACGGCUCACAUAGGCGACGAUCCCUAGAUGGUCUGAGAGGAUGACCAGCAACACUGGAAAUGAGACACGGUCCAGACUCCUACGGGAGGCAGCAGUGGGGAAUAUUGCACAAUGGGCGCAAGCCUGAUGCAGCCAUGCCGCGUGUAUGAAGAAGUCCUUCGGGUUGUAAAGUACUUUCAGCUAGGAGGCGUUACUCGCAGAAGAAGCACCGGCUAACUCCGUGCCAGCAGCCGCGGUAAUUC